ACUCAAAUGAAUUGACGGGGAGGCGCACAAGCAGUGGAGGAUGUUGUUUAAUUCGACGCAACGCGAAGAACCUUACCAAGGCUUGACAUGUUCGGGACAGUCGUGGAAACACGACCUUCCUUCGGGACCCGAUCACAGGUGGUGCAUGGCUGUCUUCAGCUCGUGCCGUGAGGUGUUCCAUUCAGUUGGUCAACGAGCGCAACCCCUGUCCUGUGUUGCCAGCGGAUAAUGCCGGGGACUCACAGGAGAUUGCCGUUAGAGGAUGAAAGUGGGGAUUAAGUCAAGUCAUCAUGCCCCUUAUGCCUUGGGCUACAAACGUCCUACAAUGGCCGGCACAAAGGGCUGCGAUACCGCAAGGUGGAGCGAAUCCCAAAAAGCCGGUCCCAGUUCGGAUUGGAGGCUGAAACUCGCCUCCAUGAAGUCGGAAUUGCUAGUAAUCGCGGAUCAGCAACGCCGCGGUGAAUAUGUACUCGCCUCUUGUACACACCGCCCGU
rnacentral:rRNA from 1 species